AGCGAACGCUGGCGGCAGGCCUAACACAUGCAAGUCGAACGAACCUUUCGGGGUUAGUGGCGGACGGGUGAGUAACACGUGGGAACGUGCCUUUAGGUUCGGAAUAACUCAGGGAAACUUGUGCUAAUACCGAAUGUGCCCUUCGGGGGAAAGAUUAAUCGCCUUUAGAGCGGCCCGCGUCUGAUUAGCUAGUUGGUUGAGGUAAUGGCUCACCAAGGCGACGAUCAGUAGCUGGUCUUAGAGGAUGAUCAGCCACAUUGGGACUGAGACACGGCCCAAACUCCUACGGGAAGCAGCAGUGGGGAAUCUUGCGCAAUGGGCGAAAGCCUGACGCAGCCAUGCCGCGUGAAUGAUGAAGGUCUUAGGAUUGUAAAAUUCUUUCACCGGGGACGAUAAUGACGGUACCCGGAGAAGAAGCCCCGGCUAACUUCGUG
rnacentral:rRNA from 1 species